rnacentral:misc_RNA from 1 species
UUCAGUGGUUUCUGUUUUGUCCACCAGGUGGAGGUAUGUCGAUUCGUGACUAGUGGUUCCGCCAUUUUUUCAGGGACAAUGAGUAGCAGCCAGUUAACAGGAUGGCGAUGAAACAUUCUCACUCUUCAACAUUUUGAUGAAAAUCAAAAAGCCUAUUUUUACUAGGCCAAAUCAUCUGAUCACAUGGCUGGCUUGACCGAGUUGUCCUGUCCAAAUGUCCCCCCCCCCCCCAUUGCUAUGUGUACCAGCUGUGCCGUCUCCAUCCUGAAAAACUCACAAGAAGAAGAAUUACCAUGCAAGAAUUUAUAAGUAACAUAUUACACAGAUGAGGGGACGCAGAGUGUAUACUUGAGAUGCAUGGAAUUGAGUUCUAGUUGCUAGCAAAUGGAAGAGCUAUGACUACUUCUUAAUUCCAAAAUUCAAGUCUCUUGCAAAAGACAUUUGUGCAAGUUUUUCCAUGUUUUUCGGCAAAGUCUACAUCAUGGACUUCAUGCAACAGUCCCUGUUGAAAUAAGAGAGUGUGAAGCAAUCGUCCGAUAUUCGGCAUUAUUUGCGCCCAUCAAUAGUGAUCGUUCCUAACGACUCGGUGUAACAACCUAGGCUAGAAGGAUAAACCAUCAGUAGUGGCAGGAACCUCAUUCAUGACAGCUGUCAAGUAUUUUCUAGACGUUAAACAAAAGUGGGAGCCUACACAACUUGAAAUAUCUAACUCUAGAUUGCCUGCAGUGUUAAGAUUUGUUUUUCAACAUGUUUUUGCCACUUUUGUCAUUUUCUUGGUUCUUUUUAACGUGACCACCUCUUUACUCGUCCCUGCUAUGCUGGAUCUUCCCAGUUCGUCCAUCGACGCCCACCAGCCUCUUCGAAAGAAAGAAGUUUGUCCCAAUAUGGAAGUUCGAAAUGGCCUACAACAGUUUUCGGAAUUGGAGGGCUGCCGAGUGGCUGGAACUGAAAUCGUGAUGGUGGAAUUGCAGCCCGGAUACAUUGCACCACAUCAUUGGGAAAAAUCCAAUGCAAAAUCCAAGCGAUUGCACGUCCUCCCGGUCAUUAUUUGUUUAUGGAGCGGCGAUGCGUUACGUGCCAUCCUUACGUUAAAUAGAAUUGGAAGGCCUUUAGUGAAUCGGGGACUAAAUCGGGAUGCAUCUUGGGAUGUCCGCUAGGCUUUCAGUAACAAAACAGACAUCACAAUUGGCAGCGACAUUAAUUGUAGCCCAUCUAUUAAGAA